AGUUUUAAGGACUAAUCGAUAAAUUCUCUCUUUAUCGAACUUAAAUAGUCCUAAGGACUUCAUCAUAACAACGGAGUUCAUUAGAAGAUGAAAGCUUAUGAUGAAAAUGCCAAAUAUAUUUUAUUUAUUAACAAAUCAAUUACAAUACUUGGUUGCUCAACCGUCAACAGCUUGACGAUUGGCUUUUUGGGACACAUUUCCCAAC
rnacentral:lncRNA from 1 species